rnacentral:rRNA from 1 species
GGUAACAUAUAUACUAGCUUGCUAGAAGAUAGACGAGUGGCGGACGGGUGAGUAAUGCUUGGGAACUUGCCUUUGCGAGGGGGAUAACAGUUGGAAACGACUGCUAAUACCGCAUAAUGUCUUCGGACCAAACGGGGCUUCGGCUCCGGCGCAAAGAGAGGCCCAAGUGAGAUUAGCUAGUUGGUAAGGUAACGGCUUACCAAGGCGACGAUCUCUAGCUGUUCUGAGAGGAAGAUCAGCCACACUGGGACUGAGACACGGCCCAGACUCCUACGGGAGGCAGCAGUGGGGAAUAUUGCACAAUGGGGGAAACCCUGAUGCAGCCAUGCCGCGUGUGUGAAGAAGGCCUUCGGGUUGUAAAGCACUUUCAGUUGUGAGGAAAAGUUAGUAGUUAAUACCUGCUAGCCGUGACGUUAACAACAGAAGAAGCACCGGCUAACUCCGUGCCAGCAGCCGCGGUAAUACGGAGGGUGCGAGCGUUAAUCGGAAUUACUGGGCGUAAAGCGCACGCAGGCGGUUUGUUAAGCUAGAUGUGAAAGCCCCGGGCUCAACCUGGGAUGGUCAUUUAGAACUGGGAGACUAUAGUCUUGGAGAGGGGAGUG